UACAGAGGGUGCGAGCGUUAAUCGGAAUUAUUGGGCGUAAAGCGCGCGUAGGCGGCCUCAUAAGUCCGUUGUGAAAGUCAAAGGCUACAACCUUUGAAAGCCGAUGGAUACUGUGAGGCUAGAGUCCGGAAGAGGCGAGUGGAAUUCCUGGUGUAGCGGUGAAAUGCGCAGAUAUCAGGAGGAACACCGAUGGCGAAGGCAGGUCUCUGGGCCACUACUGACGCCGAGAAGCGAAAGCAUGGGGAGCGAACAGG
rnacentral:rRNA from 1 species